GACGAACGCUGGCGGCGUGCCUAAUACAUGCAAGUAGAACGCUGACUACUUUAGCUUGCUAGAGUAGAAGGAGUUGCGAACGGGUGAGUAACGCGUAGGUAACCUGCCUACUAGCGGGGGAUAACUAUUGGAAACGAUAGCUAAUACCGCAUAACAGUGUUUAACACAUGUUAGAUGCUUGAAAGAUGCAAUUGCAUCACUAGUAGAUGGACCUGCGUUGUAUUAGCUAGUUGGUGGGGUAACGGCCCACCAAGGCGACGAUACAUAGCCGACCUGAGAGGGUGAUCGGCCACACUGGGACUGAGACACGGCCCAGACUCCUACGGGAGGCAGCAGUAGGGAAUCUUCGGCAAUGGGGGCAACCCUGACCGAGCAACGCCGCGUGAGUGAAGAAGGUUUUCGGAUCGUAAAGCUCUGUUGUAAGAGAAGAACGUGUGUGAGAGUGGAAAGUUCACACAGUGACGGUAACUUACCAGAAAGGGACGGCUAACUACGUGCCAGCCGCCGCGGUAACAC
rnacentral:rRNA from 1 species